UUUCGCUAUUUUGUGCUGCUCCGCUCUUCUACCGGGAUGUGUUUCAAGCUGGAAACCGAUAGCAGUUCGCGUCACGAGUAAGGAGCUCUGAUGUUGCGCAAUAAAUGUUUCUCCGAAAAGCCUCUCGACCUCCUGCACGGCUUCCACUGCGUUCCGCAAUUGUUUGUAGCGCAGAAUGAUCCAUCGGCAAGUCAAGAACUGGGCCAAGUAGGAAAAGGAGACCGUCCCGGUUAGAAUGGUGAAGAUGAUGGGCAUAGUUCGAUCGGAUAAUAACGCUUGAAACUGGGUCUUCCUUCUCCGGCGUUCUCCCCAUUGGAAUGGAAUUAGCGCCAUCCCGUCCACACCAUCUAGCGAAGAAGGAAACAAAUACGAAAUGCUGCCAUCUAGCAAUAAAAAAGGAAAGGCUUACUUGGAAGUGACGGAACUAUAAGUAGAAACCAACAUGGCAGCGACCAGCGUGGUGAGAACUGAGAAGUGCUUUAACAUUUCUUAAGAUUUGUCGUUCUAUCGUUCUUUUAACUACCUGUGACUUAUUUUCAUACUGAAUAACUCCCAAGAUGUAAUUUCAUUGUUCAUUCAGUCUUUCAGUAACUAAGCUUAGAAAAUUGCCAGUGGAACAUGUGAUUAGGAGCAAGAGUUGGAAUGAAGAAUAGUUCAACAGGCCUACAAGUGUCCAUGGAUACCUUUUUUAUUUCAGAUGGACAACUCUGACAACAAGGAUUUUUUGGGAGUUGCUGUUGAUUUCUAUCUCCGACACAAUUUCUCAGAAAUUAAUUACUUGAUACACCAGUCUUCAAUGAUUAGUAGAUUUGAUGAAUAACAACGGCAAUACCGAUAAACCCUUGGCAUUCAUUUGUUCCCGAUGAACGGCACUAUCUAUUACCCAUUAAAAAUGUAGGUAAUUCACUAACCUUUUAAAACAAGAUAAAAGCUUUUUAAGGUGAAUAAAAACAAUAAGAUGAGGAAUGCGGAUCAAAAACAGUGUUGGAGUAAAAUGUUGGAUUUGUCAUUGAAGUUGGAUAGAAAGGAGGAGAGUAAUCCCAGUUGUUCCAGUAGUAGGAGGAAUAGUCUUGCUGCUGUGGUUGCUGCUCCGUUCGGAAUCCAUUCGAGUUAUUGAAGUUGGACUGGGGACUUACGACGUGUUGUGGACAGCUGGUAGCAAGCCAUUCGGAUUGAAGUGGAGACGACGAUGAUGAUCCGGACGUGGAGUAGUUGAUUGGUUCCACGGGUGGAACUGCCGGAGGAUCCGAAUAAAAUCCAGGAGUUGGAAGGACUUGAGUUGAAACGGACGUACCAUGUUGACGUUGGCGAGAGACGUAAGGUGAUGAUCGACGAUGUUGGCGAUUUGUUUCGCAAGUUGAAGUUGCCGUUCUUGAAGAUCCAAGUUGGCGGACACGCCGACGGCGAUUCUGAAACCACCACUGAUGCAAUCAAGAGGAAAAAUUAAUUUCAGAAACUCCAAUCAGCUGGGCGAUGCGUCGACGACCUUCUCGAUUGGGAAACGGAUCUCUGUUGAAUUCUGCGUCGAGUACCUCCAGCUGGACCUCGUCGUAAAAGUGGCGCUGACGACCUGAUGCUGAAGCAGACUUCGUAGUGAAACCAACUGGAUAAUAAUCUGAAAAUUAUCCAGGCGGAAGUACUCAAUGGUCAUUGCUGUCCAGGAUCAACAGCUUAUUGGAAGAUUUUUUAGGUAUUAACCUUGCGGUGUUUCUUCUCGUCUUUGCCAGCAUCAGAUAAUCCAAAAUAUCCAGCCAGCUCAGCGUUUGACUUCUCAAAGCAAAGUUUGUAGAAACCUAUAAGGAAGGACAGAAGGAAAUGUUAUAAAAUGCUCUUUUAUUUCAAUAUUCGUAAAAAAAAAUUGUUUUGCUAGUAUGAAAAUCACUCAGGCUUCGUUUUCACCUUCCUCCCGCGGCAAAACCAUUCGGUGCCGUAAGUUAGGACUACAGUGACCCAACGACACCAGCCCCUUGAAGGUGGUAGAACGAGCUUAUCGCCGCUAAAGUGCAACUAUAGAAAAUUUCAUGGCCAAGACGAACCUGCCGCCACACCGGCACUUCCUCGAUGGUAUAAGAAGCCAGUUAUUGCAGAACGAAGUAGUUUAUAAGCUUUCCGGAUCCAGGUGCAAGGGGUGUCUGUAUUGACGUAGUGACGUCACAUAGACUUGCUGAAGGUCUCCGUUUAUUUCUCUGACCAACCUGGUAAAGUCUGAGCUCCUUCGUUGCUGCCCAACGUGCACAUGGAUUUGAUGUAGCCAGAUGGUUAAAGGUGUUCCUGGACUGUGUAAAGGGAAAAUGAUUGAACACAAGAUAGGUUGAUACUGAAAGAAUAUUUCUUUCAGUUUCAGUGUAGAGUAAAAGUUCCAAUGAUUUUGUAUUAAGUCUUAGAUGCAUCUAGUUUCAUGUAAAUUUUGUUUCAACAAUAGCUUUCAGUUGCUGUCCGAUGUGGGACGUUGUUGCAGCCAAUUCUGGUGAAAGAUCUUUUUGCAUAAUAUUAAACUGACUGUUCCUUGAUGCUGGUGUCGUGUUACCGAAGUUGCAUCAUUAUUUUGUUUAAUUGUUAUUGGGUCUGCAGUUUAUCGUUUA